AAAAAACAGCUUGCUAAGUUGAAAACCCGAAAGGGCCGCUUAGACAGAAAUAAGCGUCUCGUUGGAUUGAAAACCCGAAAGGAUGGUCCAGGAAAAAGUUAGAGACAUAAAACAGAAAGUUAUCCUGGUAGAUUGAGUACCCCACCUAUGGACAAUCUAGGCAAAAUAAAGGAUUAUGGCAAGUAAAUGUGUAGCUUUGGAAGCUUAGAUUGUUUGGGUGAAAAAGAGAGCCUUGGAGCUUAAGAUGUCGUAUGUUUGUGAAAGACCUAUGUCUGUGGUUGUGGAUGAGCCAUUAACUCUCCCUAACCAAGAUGUAAAGGAGUUGGAAGAUGCACUAGCCAAGAUGAAGUAAGAGAAAGAUAUGUGGGAAGAGCGAUUCCAUGCUUUGAGCCAAAAGCAUGAAGAGUUGUAGCUUGAGCCUAAGGAUACGGAUGCCCUUAUUGAGAAUCUUGAAGACCAUGCAAUGAAGAGACAAAGAGAGCCAGAGGGUUUAUCUACCUCUAGCAUGCCUCAACCUUACGGUGUUUGGAAGAAGAUUGUUGAUCAGCUAGUUCUUGAGAAGGCUCAGAUGAAGACAUCCUUUUAGUUUGGGAUUCGACGCAUUCAAAGGAAGUAUGCACCCAUAGCCAGAUCAUUUGACGCAGUUGCUAGAGAUCCCUAGGAUGAUAGUUUCCUUUUCUCUUGUAUUUGUAUUUUGGUUUCUGAAAUAAUACUCAGUGUAACCCUUUCAAUUAUAUGAAUAAAGAGAGAUUUUAUGGUCAAACGAAUUAUUA
rnacentral:lncRNA from 1 species